GAUCUGCCUCGCACUCUGGGAUAAGCCUGGGAAACUGGGUCUAAUACCGGAUAUGACCGCGAAUCGCAUGGUUUGUGGUGGAAAGGUUUACUGGUGCGAGAUGGGCCCGCGGCCUAUCAGCUUGUUGGUGGGGUAACGGCCUACCAAGGCGACGACGGGUAGCCGGCCUGAGAGGGCGACCGGCCACACUGGGACUGAGACACGGCCCAGACUCCUACGGGAGGCAGCAGUGGGGAAUAUUGCACAAUGGGCGAAAGCCUGAUGCAGCGACGCCGCGUGAGGGAUGACGGCCUUCGGGUUGUAAACCUCUUUCGACAGGGACGAAGCGCAAGUGACGGUACCUGUAGAAGAAGCACCGGCCAACUACGUGCCAGCAGCCGCGGUAAUACGUAGGGUGCGAGCGUUGUCCGGAAUUACUGGGCGUAAAGAGCUUGUAGGCGGUCUGUCGCGUCGAUCGUGAAAACGUGCAGCUCAACUGUGCGCCUGCGGUCGAUACGGGCAGACUAGAGUACUUCAGGGGAGACUGGAAUUCCUGGUGUAGCGGUGAAAUGCGCAGAUAUCAGGAGGAACACCGGUGGCGAAGGCGGGUCUCUGGGAAGUAACUGACGCUGAGAAGCGAAAGCGUGGGUAGCGAACAGGAUUAGAUACCCUGGUAGUCCACGCCGUAAACGGUGGGUACUAGGUGUGGGUUUCCUUCCACGGGAUCCGUGCCGUAGCUAACGCAUUAAGUACCCCGCCUGGGGAGUACGGCCGCAAGGCUAAAACUCAAAGGAAUUGACGGGGGCCCGCACAAGCGGCGGAGCAUGUGGAUUAAUUCGAUGCAACGCGAAGAACCUUACCUGGG
rnacentral:rRNA from 1 species